CCCGGCCGGCGCGCGGAGAAAGGCGAGGCCGCGGCGGGUCAUGCCCAAGGUGUAGGCGAGGCGGAGGCAUGGCUGCCGGAAGGUUGCUGCUCUACACGGGCCUCUCGCUAGCGCUCUGCGCCCUCGGCAUGCUGGCCGUGGCCAUCUGCUCGGACCACUGGUACGAGACGGACGCCAGGAAGCACAGGGACAGGUGCAAGGCCUUCAACACCCGCCGGGUGGACCCCGGCUUCAUUUACAACAACAACAACAACUUGCCGCUCCGGGCCAGCCGCUCGCGCCUGGACCGCUGGGAGGGCAAACUCCUCCGGGCCCGGAACCGCCGGCAGCUCUUCGCCAUGAGCCCGGCAGACGAGUGCAGCCGGCAGUACAACUCCACCAACAUGGGCCUCUGGAGGAAAUGCCACCGGCAGGGAUUCGACCCCGAGAUCGCCGCCCUCAUUCGGAAGGGAGAAAUUGAGCGAUGCACAUACAUCAAGUACCACUACUCCUCAGCAACCAUCCCCAGGAACCUCACAUUCAACAUCACGAAGACCAUCCGUCAGGACGAGUGGCAUGCCCUGCGUGACGGAACCACUGAGCUAAAUCCCUGUUCCACUGAACGCUCUUUUCUGGAUGCUGUCGCCCUGCCCACACGGCCUGCCACUCAUUUUGCUGAAGCCAGGCCAUGCUCCCAGGGGCUUUACUCUUAGCCUGAGACCCCUGGGUGUCAACCUAUCUGUUCUUACUACCUGAAGUGAUCAGAAACAAAUGUAAACUCUAAAGAAAAAGCACUUGCAGCCAAAAUAUACUGAGUGAGAUCAAUGCACAGAAAGAUAUAUGCACCUUCACAACAAAUGCACACGUAACUGCAGAGAAAGAAGUGAAUCUUCCACUUUCUUCUUCAACCCAGAGCUGUUUUUGACCCCGUUUGGAAUUAUCUACACGCAAGCUGGAGAGAGGGAUGUGAACUGGUUGAUGUUGCCAUGGAAACUGGCAGAGACAAAAGGCCAUAAAAAUGAGGGAAUAAGAUGACAUCUAAGAAUUAAAAAACAAAACAAAAUGGGGUUUUCUUUCUUCCUGUCUCUACAUCAUACCCUUGCAACUUGGUAAAUGGUGGGGUUUGCUAAGCCACUAAGGUGAGGGGAGGAAAAGGUGAAGGACAUAGGAUAUGAUUUUGGGCCUCUGUGUUGUCAUUGGGUUAUUUGCAUAAUCCAAUUAAGAUUUUUUUUUUUUAAUUUCCCACCUCUCCUCUUAAGAAAGUAAAGAAUCUACCCACAAAUCUGAAGACAGCAUGCCCAUCUCAUUUCUAAGAGAGGAAGUGUGUCCAGCCUGCUGUGAGGAAGAUGUCCCUAGCAACAGACUGCCUGCCUUGGGAUUGGGGUGGUUUCCAUUUCUGGAGGCCCAGGGAGUGGCUUUCUGGGGUGGCUGGAAGGCUGCAUAGAAUGACCACUGAGGGCUCUGCCAAUCUCAUGUCUAGUGAUCUACUGAUUGAUCAUUUUAGUCAUUCAACUUAGGGGCAAUGGGUUGGAGUUUCAAAUGAAUCUUCUUUUCAACUAGAAAGGGAAAAAUGCUGGCAAGCCUCCUGUCUUAAAAAGCUCAGAAAACUUCCACUUCCUCUUCAUCAACCUCAUGCUGCCUUGAUGUAGGAGUCCAUUGACUUUUUUUCCAUUUCAGAAGUUAGUCUUAUCUUCUCCUAUGUUUCUUCAUUGAUAUUUACAAAUCCCAUCAAAAAUACAACUGAAAAGCAAAGAAGUGUUGGAUAAAAGAGGACUCAUAGACCUUUUGG
rnacentral:lncRNA from 1 species